AAGCAUAUAAGUAAGCGGAGGACAAUAAACUAAACAGGAUUCCCUUAGUAAUGGCGAAUGAACAGGGAUUUGCUCAUUGUGGAAAUCGAGGCCCUCGGCCCCGAAUUGUAAUCUCAAGACGCAUCGCCAANGACGGCGCAGGAGCAAGCCUCUUGGAAAAGAGCACCGUUGAGGGUGAGAGUCCCGUCUGUCUCCUGCAGCCCAUCGUGUACGGCAUGCGCUCGACGAGUCACGUUCCUCGGGAUUGGAGCGCAAACUGGGUGGUAAAUUUCAUCUCAGGCUAAACAUGGGUUCGAGACCGAUAGAAAACAAGUACCAUGAGGGAAAGAUGAAAAGGACUUUGAAAAGAGAGUUAAAAGUGCCUGAACUUGCUGAAAGGAAAGCGGAUGGAGCCAGUCGUGCGAGGCGAGAUUGUCUCGAAGGCAGGUGCAACUGCUUCGGCCGUAGCGUAAGCGCCGUCGGCGUUUGUUGCCACUGUCAUCUUGAUGCGUCUUGCCUGGGGCGUCACCGUCUGUUUGUUGGUGGGGUCAACUGUAGGUCCAUGGUCGCACUCCCCUGGGCGUGCAAACGGUCCUCCGAGAACCCACUACCAACCCGCUCGGUGACGAAAUGGUUCUCUUCGACCCGUCUUGAAACACGGNACCAAGGA
rnacentral:rRNA from 1 species